rnacentral:rRNA from 1 species
AGCGAACGCUGGCGGCAUGCUUAACACAUGCAAGUCGCACGGGCAGGGGCAACCCUGUCAGUGGCGGACGGGUGAGGAACGCGUAGGAAUCUGUCCUUGGGUGGGGGAUAACCGUGGGAAACUACGGCUAAUACCGCAUAACGAGCUGGGCUGUGGCGGCCCGGUUCUAACGGCGCAAGCCGCCUGAGGAGGAGCCUGCGUCCGAUUACGCUAGUUGGUGGGGUAAUGGCCUACCAAGGCUGCGAUCGGUAGCUGGUCUGAGAGGAUGAUCAGCGACACUGGGACUGGGACACGGCCCAGACUCCUACGGGAGGCAGCAGUGGGGAAUAUUGGACAAUGGGCGAAAGCCUGAUCCAGCAAUGCCGCGUGGGUGAAGAAGGUCUUCGGAUUGUAAAGCCCUUUCGGCGGGGACGAUGAUGACGGUACCCGCAGAAGAAGCCCCGGCUAACUUCGUGCCAGCCGCCGCCGUAAUAC